rnacentral:rRNA from 1 species
GGCGAACGCUGGCGGCGUGCCUAAUACAUGCAAGUCGAGCGGACUUUCAAGAAGCUUGCUUUUUGAAAGUUAGCGGCGGACGGGUGAGUAACACGUGGGCAACCUGCCUGCAAGACGGGGAUAACUCCGGGAAACCGGGGCUAAUACCGGAUAAUAUCUUCCUUCGCAUGAAGGAAGGUUGAAAGGCGGCGCAAGCUGCCGCUUGCAGAUGGGCCCGCGGCGCAUUAGCUAGUUGGUGAGGUAACGGCUCACCAAGGCGACGAUGCGUAGCCGACCUGAGAGGGUGAUCGGCCACACUGGGACUGAGACACGGCCCAGACUCCUACGGGAGGCAGCAGUAGGGAAUCUUCCGCAAGGGACGAAAGUCUGACGGAGCAACGCCGCGUGAGCGAAGAAGGUCGUCGGAUCGUAAAGCUCUGUUGUCAGGGAAGAACAAGUACCGUUCGAACAGGGCGGUACCUUGACGGUACCUGACCAGAAAGCCACGGCUAACUACGUG